rnacentral:rRNA from 1 species
GACGAACGCUGGCGGCGUGCUUAACACAUGCAAGUCGACAUGAGUGGCGAACGGGUGAGUAAUACGUGGGUAACCUGCCCUCCUUUUUGGGAUAAGCCUUGGAAACGGGGUCUAAUACCGAAUAAAGGGGGAUGGGCUCGCGGGCUAUCAGCUUGUUGGUUGGGUGAUGGCUUACCAAGGCGGUGACGGGUAGCCGGCCGGAGAGGGUGAACGGGACCAUUGGGAAUGAGAGACGGCCCAGAAUCAUACGGGAGGCAGGAGUGGGGGAUAGUGCGCAAAGGGCGAAAGUCUGGUGCAGCGACGCCGCGGUGGGGAAGAAGGCUUUCGGGUUGUAAAGUAAUUUCAGCGGGGAGGCGUUAACCGCAGAAGAAGCAACGGCUAACUACGUGCCAGCAGCCGCGGUAAUUC